CUUGCCUCUCGGCACUGUCUGUGCCUUGCUUCCUUGGAUUAUUUGCUUUUGGCUGCCUUCAUCAUGCUGAAUGAAAAGUCAACAUGGUGUCCCUGGUCUUUUCAAGGUCUGGACUGAUUCCAGUGGUGCGUUUUCAAGCUUCUGGCUCACAACCAAAAAGCAGCACAGAUCUGCAGGAUGAUGUCCCCAAAGCAAAAGAAUCAUGCACGCUGUGGUGUGAAAUGUAAUGUGAGUCUGAUGUUGAUUUCAAAAUGAAAGGUGAAGAUUGUUCGUGUCCUUGGUGAUUCAAUACUACAGCCAAUAUAAAUGUGGUGUAUGCAUUACAGCUACAAUUCUGACGGUAUACAAACAUAGUAGUAGUAUGUGCAUUCAGUUGAAAUGCACGGUCAGUUGAAAUGUUUAAAUCAAGACUGAAAACCUACCUUUAUUCGUUACAUUACUGCCUUCCCUAAAAUUCAGCCUGGAUUAUCACCUUUUAACAUUGAUGUUUUUAAUGUGGUUGUUUGUCUUUAAAUUUAUAUUAUUGUAAAUCGAUUGAUUGCUGUAUGUUCUGUAUUAGUCUACCCUCAUGUUCCAAAUAACCCACCUUCCCCAAAAUGUAUUUUUGGUGUCUGUCUAUGCUGAGAUCCUGAGUCAUGGCUGUGGCUGAUGCUGUGGUCCUGAGGCCUGGAUCCAGAGUCUGGCCGUUCCUGUUGCUGUGGUCCUGAUGCCCACCUUACUACUUCUUUGAUGGCUGCCAUAGGAUUGCUGACAUCCACCUGGACCCAUUGUCUUCUUAGUUAGACACAUUCAUUCUCCAGCAUUUUGGAUUACCUAUGUUGCAAAUGUAUUAUCUCUUUGAUUUAAGCACAACAUCUAUUGCACUUCUGUCCACCCUGGGAGAGGGAGCCCUCCUCUGUUGCUCUCCCCGAGGUUUCUGCCAUUUUCCCCACGUAACUCUGAGGUUCUAUAGGACGUUUUUCCUUGUACGAUGUGAGGGUCCAAGGACAGAGGGUGUCGUAUUCAUAUUCUGUAAAGUC